AGCUUUGCGCAGAGGUAGUGCCAUAGCCAAUGAGGUUCUACCGAAGCGUGAAUAUUACUAGUCGAAAACUUUUAGUGAACUUAGAUUAGCAAUAUACAUAUUCACAAAAUGUAAUAUUGAAUGCGGAAAUUUCAG